rnacentral:lncRNA from 1 species
AAUAAUCUAUCCACGUGGUACUUCAUUCUUUGUCAUCCAUUUGCCCAUACAAGUCUCAAUGCUUCAUCUACGAUCCAUUCAACUGCACUAAUCUCAAAGCACUCGAUCCUCUAUCAUCCAUUUGCCCAUAAAUCUAAAAGCACUUCAUCCUAUAUCAUCCAUCCACUUUACAUGAAUCUUAAAGCACUAUCAUUCAUCUGCCUACAUAAAUAUUAAAACACUCCAUCCCAAGCAUCAACGACUCAGAACCAGACCCCGUGGCGGCCUACUGGCAGUACCAGUCGGUGUGCCCCUGUAGCGGGACCAUAUCAAGCCCGAACCGACACAAAAACGGGGGAUGAAUCAAGGAGAGAAAGAGAAAAAGG